rnacentral:rRNA from 1 species
AACGAACGCUGGCGGCAGGCCUAACACAUGCAAGUCGAGCGAAGCCUUCGGGCUUAGCGGCGUACGGGUGAGUAACGCGUGGGAACGUGCCCUUUGGUACGGAAUAGCACCGGGAAACCGGGAGGAAUACCGUAUGUGGUCGAGAGACGAAAGAUUUAUCGCCAAAGGAUCGGCCCGCGUUGGAUUAGGUAGUUGGUGGGGUAAUGGCCUACCAAGCCGACGAUCCAUAGCUGGUUUGAGAGGAUGAUCAGCCACACUGGGACUGAGACACGGCCCAGACUCCUACGGGAGGCAGCAGUGGGGAAUCUUAGACAAUGGGGGAAACCCUGAUCUAGCCAUGCCGCGUGAUCGAUGAAGGCCUUAGGGUUGUAAAGAUCUUUCAGUGGGGAAGAUAAUGACUGUACCCACAGAAGAAGCCCCGGCUAACUCCGUGCCAGCCGCCGCUGUAACAC